GAAAUGGCUCCCAUGACCUCUUCUAGCUUGAAACUAGGUUUGCGCAAAUACAAAAAUAUGAGGCUGUCAUAUAUUAAUAGUAUUAAAUCGUGCACCCACUUCUGUGGCUAAAGGCUAAAAACAUAGGCUGUUGAGAGUUCCAGCAGUAAUAUUAUUUAGACGGACCUCCACAGAAAAGUUCGCCAAAUGUAGCUAGCUAGUCUACUUGGCUAACUGCACGCAGAACGCAUGGAAUAAGUUUCAUUACGUUUGAAAUGCACGUUUUUUACUUAAGCUAUGUUAGCAACACAAGUCACUAUUAAAACAGUCCGGAAAGCAUAACCCAAAUACCCAAGUUAAUUACCAUUCUUCACGGCAGCUGGAUAGACCUUGACUUGGCUCCCGUAUAUGCGCGCUACAUAGCGGAUGGAUAGCUAAACCAUUAAGCCACAUUACAGAAUAAUUGACAAAGCUAGAUAGGAUCCAUAUUCAGAUUGACAUCCAAUCUCACUCAAAGAUAUGCGAAAACGGACGGCUAAUUAGGCAACAUAAAACUAUUCUUUGACGUUUUUAAGUUAGAAAUCCGGAAGAUCAACGUAACUCAGCUGGCUGGCUACCUAACCAGGUUGGAACUGCCGAAAUGGAGAAGCGGAGGCUGAGAGCGAAGAGGGGGGAAUUUGUCUGGGCCCCAGCUGGCGUCUCGUCUGCCUCAUCUACGCAGCUGCUUCGGCCGAGCCGCGCGGAACAAAAGCCGCUGACCUUCUACGCCGCGCGCCGCACCGUCUUUAUUAAGCGCAUUCUGCGCUGGAAAGAAAGCUGGCGGGAGUUCAGCGCAAGAGCAGCGCCUCGUGCUCGAUUGUCCCGAGUCUGUCCUCGCACCACCUGCCCCUCUUUGCUUUCUUCCUGUUAUCUAGCGUCUCCCCCCCCCCCCCCCCACUUCACAUCAGAUUCCUAAGCUUCGCCAUUGAGUAGUUCCCAUCCCUUUGCCUCCCGCGUAUCCGUCGAACAAAGCAUGCGCCGCAGCAACACAUUUUAGCACCAAAGGCGUUAAUAUAAUGAUCUGUUAUGUUCCCCCAAUUGACUGCGUAUUCCCAUUGUGACUCAAUUAGCCUUGUCAACAAUGAUUCAAUUUGUCUCCCAGAAUGUAAAGGGAAUGAAUUAAUUAAACAUAAAAUGGACCGAUAUGAUGGUUAAUUUUAAUCAGAUAUUCCCACACUAAGUUACUCCAUGGCUCCAUACCCCUUCGGGACAGAGUUAUUUUUUCCUUAAUUUAGUUUUAAUUAAUAAUAAGGCUUGAAUUUAAUUUAACUCAAGGUACAUCGAAAUGGCGCAGAUUUAAUUAACUGAAUGAUGGAAUUGCUAGAUCCAUUUCCUCUCGCUAUUAUCGCAUUUAGGUGGAGGCUGCAGCGCGGGAGCGAUUUUAACCGGUUUUUACCGGUCUUUUGUGCUUCCAGCUGACUCAGGGGGGGGGUCUAAAGAUAGGAAAUAAAUGGGGAAGACAUAAAGCAGGGAUGGUCAGUUUCAGAUUCUCUCAAGAUUCUGUCUUUUGUUUUCUAGCACUUUCCACACACAGAGCAGAGCACUGAUCUCUGGGUCUCGCCACAGUGCUGUUGUUUGGCAACAAUAUGUGCUGCAGGUCACAGAGGAAAUGUGAAAUAAUUGUUGGGAGGAAAUGAACAAACUGACCACUAAAUGCUUCCUGUGAAAUCUCCUCAGUCCCUGUCUGUCGGAUUGUUGUGAACAUUUUUGUUGCUGAAGAGUUGGUGAAACAGUCUAGGUGCCCGGAUGAAAACAAGGGCUACAUAUGGUUGAAAAGUUAAAGUUGUCUAGCCAACUAUGACGUAGCCAGGCUACAUCCAAGGAACACCUGGGCCAAAUUGUGGUUAACCUAGUCUGCUUAU